AUGAAGGAAGAUGAGAGGAAUAGAUACCAGAGUUGCUCAACCCCACACCCGGUAUGGAAGAGAAUUUGGCAACUGAAACUACCAGCAAAAAUUAAGAUAUUCAUAUGGAAAUGUCUACACAAUGCAAUCCCGUGUUAUAGUGUUCUUACAAAUCGCCAUAUAGGCAGCAGGUCGCAUUGCCCGCACUGCACAGAAGGAGCGGAAGAUGUUUGUCAUGCUUUGUUCACCUGCAGCAGAGCUAGAGAAGUCCGGGCAGUGUUGGGACUUGAAGUCUUGGUUUCAGGAGCUAGUACCAAUCGAACUGGUGCAGGUACACUUGAAUUUCUUCUUUGUGAUGAUGAACACCAGGGUACGUACACGGAUGAGAUUUAUCUGCCAGAAGCUAUAGCGGCAACCUGUUGGUAUUUAUGGUGGCAACGCAGACAGUUUGUUCGCGGAGAAACAAUCCAAAACCCUCAGCGGACGGCAAUGGCGAUCCAAGCUUUGACCCUGAACUUCGUUCGUGGAGCUUGGAAAACGGGGAGCUCACGUAAACUGAAUGAGUGGCCGGUUGUUCUUGCUAAUCAGCAGGUUCUUAAUGUGGAUGCUGCUUUUUAUCUGGCGAUCAAUCAGGAGGAUGUGGGGCCAUUGUACGUGAUAACCGCGGUAACUUCAUUGGUGCAGCCACGGCAAAACUAA
rnacentral:rRNA from 1 species